rnacentral:rRNA from 1 species
AUGAGGAGGACGUUGAGAGUUGGCGGCAUGGAUUUACUGCUCCCCAUCUUGUCUGUGCCACCUAUUUCCUGCUGCUCGCUGACGCCACGGGCUGCCACUGCUCGACGACAUGGCCUGCCCCUGCCCCAGCUCCGCGUACUGCAGCUGCUGCUCGCUUCUCGCCGCCACAGGCAGUCGCUACCCCAGCGGCUAGCGUUGCGUACUUCUGCUGCUGGCCGCCGCCGUUGCAUACCCAAUGGUGUCAGAGUUGACGAAAAAAAGUAG